AAUUAUCUCAACUACAAAUGGAGGCCCGUUUCUUCUUCCUCACACGACCGUCGACUCCUCGUCGCUUCGUGUCCCGAGCCAGCGGAAGCUUCUAGAACGUUCGCGACCAGAUGGUGGUGCUACACGUGAAGCUAUCGGCGCCCGCCUCCUCGUCGUCUCCGGAGGCGGCCGAGGAGGAGAUGGAGUUCCUGCACGAGUGCGCUGCCUCCGCGUCCGUCGCGGACGUGGCGGCCGCACUCGGCGCGCUCGCCGGCCUCCAGGCCCGCCUCCUCUCCCUCUGCCAUCGCCUCAGAGGUUCUGCAGAGGCGUGCGGUGCGGAUGCAGGUGCGGCGGGCGAGCUCGAGAGGGCGCUAGACGAGGCCGAGGCCUACGCCUCCAAGGAGCAAGUGCAGCAUAAUAAAUUUCUGUUGCCUCAUGCUCUAAGGGAACAUAUCAAGAACAUUCAGAAGAAAUGUGCUACUGCUCUACAAGAAUCUCCAGAGGCAUUGUGUUUGCAACAACCAUCAUCAGGCAACAAGCAUGAGAAGAUACAGCUUUGGUGGGCUGGAAAAGAGCUAGCAAUGGGCCAGAAGUUAUCUGACUAUAUCGGUGUUAAUGAUAAAACAAAGAUUGUCAUCAGGCUAACACAAGCUCCUGAUGAGCCUUGAAUGUGCUUCUACCCUUGAGUGAUCUUGCAGAGUUAGUUUCUUUUUGGAUAAUGUAUGCAAGCUAUCGUCUUGUACAAUCAUGCAAAUCACUUUGAAGCGGUUUCCCUUGGAGGGGGAUGAUGUUUCAUUUGACAGCAGGAAUGGAACUCACAUUACUCUAGCAGACAAAGUCUCAUUCUGUCCAUGAGAUAAGGAUGGCUAGUCCAGAACUUAUUGGUGCAAUACAAUUUUGAAGAAAAAAAGUCAUAAACUAGUGUUCACACUUAAGUUCAGAGUAGAGAUCUGAAUCUAUUCACUCUCGGAAAUUAGGAGGCAACCUUGUAAGUGGAUUGGUCUCCUAUUCACAUUAGGAGUUUGUUUUCUGUAUGGAGAACUGGAACAUGGUAAUAUGUUAUCAUUGACAGCUUCUUAUCUAUUUUUUUGGUAUCUAGUUGUAAAGGAGACACUGGGAGAUCAUUGAAUCCCUUAUUCUCUCAUGUCCCAUAAGAUAGCAAAGAAAAAUAU